ensembl:lncRNA
GAAACGCCGCUGCCGUCGUCUGCAGAGAUGCUGCUCUACGUCUGCUUUCUCCUGUGUGUCCACAUCUGUCACAGCGCUGCAGACCUGAAAGCAGCGGCUGAGACCAUAAACUCAUCGGGGAAGUGCUGACUAAGCUCAGAGAGCAGCAGAGCAGGACUGUCCUGUUCUCAGACUAUCUAUCUAUCAGACCAGAGGAUGUCGCCCCCUGCUGGCAGUACUAAGAAUGCAGGUUUAAAAGGCUUCAGCAUCCAGGCUGUAACAUCUGAUGAAGUGGUUUUAAUUUAAAAAAGAAAAAUGAAAAGAAACAUAACUCCAGCCGUCCAUUUUUCCACUGCUUACUGGGUUCAGGUUGCAGGGCAGGACUCUGAGCAGAGGAGCCAAUGGAGUCAGUCCUCCUGUGGGGCUCCACCCAUGGCCCAACUGUAGGUGGCUGAGAGAUAACAGCUAGAUACAGCUGGGCAAUGGAACCAAUUUCCUGCAGUCGCCCUGGGCACGAGGCGGGGGGCUGGUGUUCCUGUAUCCCCUCAGUCCAUGAGAGAGUUGCUUCCCUGCAGCUCUGGGUCAGGGUCCUGACUGCUAUUUACCAAAUGCAGUUCAGAUUACCUACGUGGUGUCACCUGGUGGGGUGGGACUCCAUCGUUCUGCUGGGAGACUUCAACGCUCAGGUGGGCAUUGACAUAGGUGGGCGGAGCCUGCCUGAUCUGAACCCGAGGGGUCUUCUGUUUCUGGACUUACAUGCAAAUCCCAGUUUGUCCAUAAUGACCAUGACAAUGUCCACAGGCACUGGGAGACUGGGGACACGAGUCCGGGUGCACCUCCACUCCUGGAAGGAGCUGCAGCUCACGGUGGUUUUAACCCCAGAACCAUAAUGACAUCAUCAAAGAGAGACCAGCUUACACGAUCCUGCUGACUCUGACUGUGGAUCACUUCACUGGCAC